AUUGAACGCUGGCGGCAUGCCUUACACAUGCAAGUCGAACGGCAGCACGGGAGCAAUCCUGGUGGCGAGUGGCGAACGGGUGAGUAAAGUAUCGGAACGUGCCCAGUCGUGGGGGAUAACGUAGCGAAAGUUACGCUAAUACCGCAUACGAUCUAUGGAUGAAAGCGGGGGAUCGCAAGACCUCGCGCGAUUGGAGCGGCCGAUAUCAGAUUAGGUAGUUGGUGGGGUAAAGGCUCACCAAGCCGACGAUCUGUAGCUGGUCUGAGAGGACGACCGGCCGCACUGGGACUGAGACACGGCCCAGGCUCCUACGGGAGGCAGCAGUGGGGAAUUUUGGACAAUGGGCGAAAGCCUGAUCCAGCCAUGCCGCGUGCAGGAUGAAGGCCUUCGGGUUGUAAACUGCUUUUGUACGGAACGAAAAGGUUUGGCCUAAUAAGCUGAGCUCAUGACGGUACCGUAAGAAUAAGCACCGGCUAACUACGUGCCAGCCGCCGCGGUAA
rnacentral:rRNA from 1 species